GUGGGGAAUUUUGGACAAUGGGGGAAACCCUGAUCCAGCCAUUCCGCGUGAGUGAAGAAGGCCUUCGGGUUGUAAAGCUCUUUCGGCAGGAACGAAACGGUUACGGCUAAUACCUGUGACCACUGACGGUACCUGAAGAAGAAGCACCGGCUAACUACGUGCCAGCAGCCGCGGUAAUACGUAGGGUGCGAGCGUUAAUCGGAAUUACUGGGCGUAAAGCGUGCGCAGGCGGUUAUGCAAGCCAGACGUGAAAGCCCCGGGCUUAACCUGGGAAUGGCGUUUGGGACUGCAUGGCUAGAGUACGUCAGAGGGGGGUGGAAUUCCACGUGUAGCAGUGAAAUGCGUAGAGAUGUGGAGGAACACCGAUGGCGAAGGCAGCCCCCUGGGAUGAUACUGACGCUCAGGCACGAAAGCGUGGGGAGCAAACAGGAUUAGAAACCCUAGUAGUCC
rnacentral:rRNA from 1 species